rfam:Sorghum bicolor cultivar BTx623 chromosome 4, whole genome shotgun sequence.
GUUGUCGUAUUUACUUCAAUCCAUGUGUGUUGGUGUGGAUUGGGGUGGAAUUUAGUUCAAGUUCCACUCCAAUCCUCCAAUCCACCUCAAUACACGUGGAUUGAUGUGAAUACGACU